rnacentral:tRNA from 1 species
GAGGCAGUAGCUUAAUCGGAAGAGCACCGGGAAAACCGGGGGGUAUUGGUUCGAAUCCUUUCUGCCUUA